CCGUUGAUUUGAGAGUGGUGGUGGCUUCUGGGUACAACGUCCGACGAUUUGAGGGUGGUGGUGGCCGUUUAGAAAUGGUGGUGGUUUGUGACGGUGCAGCGGAGAGUGAGUGCGAGAGAGAUAUUUGAGCUCUUUGCGUUUGGUAAUGAGUGAAAUGAGGGAGAAAUAAGAGAACCCCUAUUUUCUAAAGUUAACGGGCGUCUGGGCUUCUGGCGAAACCCAAAAAACCAAAAGGGAACAAAACCCUAUUCUCAUCCGC
rnacentral:lncRNA from 1 species